UUAAGCGACUAAGCGUACACGGUGGAUGCCCUGGCAGUCAGAGGCGAUGAAGGGCGUGCUAAUCUGCGAUAAGCGCCGGUAAGGUGAUAUGAACCGUUAUAACCGGCGAUACCCGAAUGGGGAAACCCAGUGUGAUUCGUCACACUAUCAUUAACUGAAUCCAUAGGUUAAUGAGGCGAACCGGGGGAACUGAAACAUCUAAGUACCCCGAGGAAAAGAAAUCAACCGAGAUUCCCCCAGUAGCGGCGAGCGAACGGGGAGGAGCCCAGAGCCUGAAUCAGCAUGKGUGUUAGUGGAAGCGUCUGGAAAGGCGCGCGAUACAGGGUGACAGCCCCGUACACAAAAGCGCAUGUGCUGUGAGCUCGAUGAGUAGGGCGGGACACGUGGUAUCCUGUCUGAAUAUGGGGGGACCAUCCUCCAAGGCUAAAUACUCCUGACUGACCGAUAGUGAACCAGUACCGUGAGGGAAAGGCGAAAAGAACCCCGGCGAGGGGAGUGAAAAAGAACCUGAAACCGUGUACGUACAAGCAGUGGGAGCACAGGUUUACCUGUGUGACUGCGUACCUUUUGUAUAAUGGGUCAGCGACUUAUAUUCUGUAGCAAGGUUAACCGAAUAGGGGAGCCGGAGGGAAACCGAGUCUUAACCGGGCGUUAAGUUGCAGGGUAUAGACCCGAAACCCGGUGAUCUAGCCAUGGGCAGGUUGAAGGUUGGGUAACACUAACUGGAGGACCGAACCGACUAAUGUUGAAAAAUUAGCGGAUGACCUGUGGCUGGGGGUGAAAGGCCAAUCAAACCGGGAGAUAGCUGGUUCUCCCCGAAAGCUAUUUAGGUAGCGCCUCGUGAAUUCAUCUCCGGGGGUAGAGCACUGUUUCGGCUAGGGGGCCAUCCCGGCUUACCAACCCGAUGCAAACUGCGAAUACCGGAGAAUGUUAUCACGGGAGACACACGGCGGGUGCUAACGUCCGUCGUGAAGAGGGAAACAACCCAGACCGCCAGCUAAGGUCCCAAAGUCAUGGUUAAGUGGGAAACGAUGUGGGAAGGCCCAGACAGCCAGGAUGUUGGCUUAGAAGCAGCCAUCAUUUAAAGAAAGCGUAAUAGCUCACUGGUCGAGUCGGCCUGCGCGGAAGAUGUAACGGGGCUAAACCAUGCACCGAAGCUGCGGCAGCGACGCUUAUGCGUUGUUGGGUAGGGGAGCGUUCUGUAAGCCUGUGAAGGUGGCCUGUGAGGGUUGCUGGAGGUAUCAGAAGUGCGAAUGCUGACAUAAGUAACGAUAAAGCGGGUGAAAAGCCCGCUCGCCGGAAGACCAAGGGUUCCUGUCCAACGUUAAUCGGGGCAGGGUGAGUCGACCCCUAAGGCGAGGCCGAAAGGCGUAGUCGAUGGGAAACGGGUUAAUAUUCCCGUACUUGGUGUUACUGCGAAGGKGGGACGGAGAAGGCUAUGUUGGCCGGGCGACGGUUGUCCCGGUUUAAGCGUGUAGGUGUGUGUUCCAGGUAAAUCCGGUUCACUUUAACACUGAGGCGUGACGACGAGGCACUACGGUGCUGAAGCAACAAAUGCCCUGCUUCCAGGAAAAGCCUCUAAGCAUCAGGUAACAUCAAAUCGUACCCCAAACCGACACAGGUGGUCAGGUAGAGAAUACCAAGGCGCUUGAGAGAACUCGGGUGAAGGAACUAGGCAAAAUKGUGCCGUAACUUCGGGAGAAGGCACGCUGACACGUAGGUGAAGUGAUUUACUCAUGGAGCUGAAGUCAGUCGAAGAUACCAGCUGGCUGCAACUGUUUAUUAAAAACACAGCACUGUGCAAACACGAAAGUGGACGUAUACGGUGUGACGCCUGCCCGGUGCCGGAAGGUUAAUUGAUGGGGUCAGCGCAAGCGAAGCUCCUGAUCGAAGCCCCGGUAAACGGCGGCCGUAACUAUAACGGUCCUAAGGUAGCGAAAUUCCUUGUCGGGUAAGUUCCGACCUGMACGAAUGGCGUAAUGAUGGCCAGGCUGUCUCMACCCGAGACUCAGUGAAAUUGAACUCGCUGUGAAGAUGCAGUGUACCCGCGGCAAGACGGAAAGACCCCGUGAACCUUUACUAUAGCUUGACACUGAACAUUGAGCCUUGAUGUGUAGGAUAGGUGGGAGGCUUUGAAGUGUGGACGCCAGUCUGCAUGGAGCCGACCUUGAAAUACCACCCUUUAAUGUUUGAUGUUCUAACGUGGACCCGUUACCCGGGUUGCGGACAGUGUCUGGUGGGUAGUUUGACUGGGGCGGUCUCCUCCUAAAGAGUAACGGAGGAGCACGAAGGUUGGCUAAUCCUGGUCGGACAUCAGGAGGUUAGUGCAAUGGCAUAAGCCAGCUUGACUGCGAGCGUGACGGCGCGAGCAGGUGCGAAAGCAGGUCAUAGUGAUCCGGUGGUUCUGAAUGGAAGGGCCAUCGCUCAACGGAUAAAAGGUACUCCGGGGAUAACAGGCUGAUACCGCCCAAGAGUUCAUAUCGACGGCGGUGUUUGGCACCUCGAUGUCGGCUCAUCACAUCCUGGGGCUGAAGUAGGUCCCAAGGGUAUGGCUGUUCGCCAUUUAAAGUGGUACGCGAGCUGGGUUUAGAACGUCGUGAGACAGUUCGGUCCCUAUCUGCCGUGGGCGCUGGAGAACUGAGGGGGGCUGCUCCUAGUACGAGAGGACCGGAGUGGACGCAUCACUGGUGUUCGGGUUGUCAUGCCAAUGGCACUGCCCGGUAGCUAAAUGCGGAAGAGAUAAGUGCUGAAAGCAUCUAAGCACGAAACUUGCCCCGAGAUGAGUUCUCCCUGAGACUUAGAGUCUCCUGAAGGAACGUUGAAGACGACGACGUUGAUAGGCCGGGUGUGUAAGCGCAGCGAUGCGUUGAGCUAACCGGUACUAAUGAACCGUGAGGCUUAACCUU
rnacentral:rRNA from 1 species